UUCCAAAGAGAGGACGCGGUGCCCUGACCUGACUGGAUGCACCUCUUACCACAUGCCUCCCUGGCAGGCCGUGUCUCCACUUUUUACAAGUUUGCCUGAGAGCAUUCCUCAGGUCAUUCAGUCCUGGGGUACUUAGCACCGUGGCAUAUCUGUAAUAAGCACAUGCACACCUCGAAGGAGGUCUUCACUUCAACAUACGAGUCGACCAUGGCAUGCUCUGGGCUCCAGUCCUCUACAAAGAUGCAGGGCAGGAACUACCAGUUGUCAGCACAGCACCAUCCCACAUUGCUCUUCUAAUGGAGCCUUUCACCCCAGAUGUUCUUUCUCGUCUGAUGGGAAGGAUCCAAAUGAAAAAAUUGAGGCUCAAAGAAGUCCACCAAAUUGAGAGUGAAGUAGGGGAAACAGCAUUUAACGCUUACAUUCUAAUGAUUUGUGUAAGAGCAGCAGGACAAGCUAUACAAAGAAAAACGUGGAAUUAUCAGGAUGGAAUUAAAGAUGCUUCCAAACAGAGGGGAUAUCUCAAGCCAUGACUCAGAGGUAAGAGUAAGAGACUAUGAUGUGCACAGGAGCUGUUUAAAAAGUUCACUCACCUCUACUCAUUCAUAGAGACACA
rnacentral:lncRNA from 1 species